UACGAGAGGAGCGAGCAUUAUUCGAAAUGAUUAGGCGUAAAGGGUUCGUAGGUUGUUUUUUAAGUUGAAAAAAAAAAAUUAAAGCUUAACUUUAUUUAUUUUUUCAAAACUGAUAAACUAGAGUAUAAAUAGAGGAUAAUAGAAUUCUUAUUGUAAGGAUAAAAUCUUUUAAUAAUAAGAGGAAUUUUCAAGGCGAAGGCAAUUAUCUGGGUAUAUACUGACAUUGAGGAACGAAAGCUUGGGGAGCGAACGGGAUUAGAUACCCCGGUAGUCCAUGCUGUAAACGAUGAGUGCUCAUAUUUAGAGAAAUUUAGAUAUUUUAAGAAGCUAACGCGAUAAGCACUCCGCCUGAAGAGUAUAAUCGCAAGAUUGAAAUUCAAAGGAAUUGACGGGAGUCUACACAAGCGGUGGAGCAUGUGGUUUAAUUCGAUAAUACGCGCAGAACCUUACCAAUUCUUGUAAAUAUUUUUAAAAUAUUUUUUAAAAAGUACAGGCGUUGCAUGGCUGUCGUCAGCUCGUGUUGUGAGAUGUUUGGUUUAUUCCCUUAACGAGCGAAACCCCUAUUUUUAGUUGCUAAUUUAUAUUAAAGAUUGACUCUUUUUAUAAAUGCACUUUAAAAAAAGUUAAUGACAUAUUAAUGGAAAUGGGGAUUACGUCAAGUCUUCAUGGCCCUUAUGAAUUGGGCUACACACGUGCUACAAUGAUAAAUACAAUGAGAGGCAAUAAUAAUAAUAAAUUGGAGCAAAUCUUUAAAAUUUAUCUUAGUUCGGAUUAUGGGCUGCAACUCGCCCAUAUAAAGUUGGAAUCGCUAGUAAUCGCAAAACAGCAUGUUGCGGUGAAUAUGUUAAUGGACUU
rnacentral:rRNA from 1 species